rnacentral:lncRNA from 1 species
UCAAAGAAGGAUGAUAUAUUUUUUUAUCCAAAAUCUCUGUUUCUAACUUUCUAUCAAUUAAGAUAUAAAUAUACUUUUGCAGCUGGUCUAACAUGCGUGUACUUGACCGUCUUUAUAUUGGGUAUUGUCGGGGAAAAAAAUCACACGAGAAGACUAACAUUUUAUACUUUUUUUUUAAACGGGACUGACAAAAGAGCUGUAUGUUGUAUUAAAAAGAAUGGAGCCUAGAAAGACACCUUACAAAUAAAAAAGUGAAAAAAAAAAUAUACAAGAUACUAGCAUUUUAUACUGGGUUCCUGGGAAAAAGAACAUCACACGAUGGCUAGCUUUCACGAUUGAGCCUAACCGUCCGAUCGAUCGGUACCUCACAAAUGACGAUGCAUGAUCACUGUGCAUGCAUAUGCAUGGAGCAUGGUCCUCCACGACAUCACAUGAGGGACCAACUGUUCAGUGUUUUUGUUUUACCCUUCCGUGCUAUGAUUGCACAUCGCUGCAGUCAGCACCAGCGACGACAGCGUCUGUCCUUGCACGUCCUCCCCGGUCC